AUCCCUGUAGUGUUAGGUACCACCUUAAACAGCUUUCCAAACAACACUUUGGCAUCUUGGGUACUUUCCAGUGAUCUACUUUUUUUAAAACAAAUAUCAAAAGAAUCAACACAACAAAUUGUUAGACAGGCAAUUCUAAUAUUUAUAAUCACUUGGACAAAUCCUUGUUAUGCAUGUAAAUCAUGUACGUGUAUGGGUAUUUCACUUUUGCAAAAAGUGUAUGGCGACAAUUGAAUGAUUUAUUCAUACAGC
rnacentral:lncRNA from 1 species